AGAGCUGAUUAGACGAUCGCUGUCGCCUUAGGUGAUGGAGGAAAGUCCGGGCUCCUGAGGUCAGAGUGCCAGGUAACGCCUGGGGGGUGUGAGCCCACGGAAAGUGCAGCAGAAAGGAAACCGCCUGGCUUGCCAGGUAAGGGUGAAAAGGUGCGGUAAGAGCGCACCGCGCGGCUGGUAACAGGCGUGGCGAUGGUAAACCCCACUCGGAGCAAGACCAAAUAGGGAUCCAUUAGCCGUGACCUCCGGCGGAUCCGGGUAGGUCGCUACAGGCGAACGGUGACGUUCGUCGCAGAUGAAUGAUCGUCCAAGACAGAACCCGGCUUAUCGAUCGGCUCAUUCU
rnacentral:RNase_P_RNA from 20 species